AAGUCAAACAUGAGGGGGGAUGGUAAACCUUGUCUCUGUUCAAAGAUAGUCUCUGGUGUCGGAUGUGAAUGUCCUCCUUGAUCUUUCUCCAGCUGUCGACUCGUGGAUGGAUUAUUGAACGGGUCUACGGGGCACAGGCCCAGGGGGUCGACUACAGUCAACAGUUUCUGGUCUUUACCAAACAAUUCAUCCAGAAAAUAC